rnacentral:rRNA from 1 species
AUUGAACGCUGGCGGCAGGCCUAACACAUGCAAGUCGGACGGUAGCACAGAGAGCUUGCUCUUGGGUGACGAGUGGCGGACGGGUGAGUAAUGUCUGGGGAUCUGCCCGAUAGAGGGGGAUAACCACUGGAAACGGUGGCUAAUACCGCAUAACGUCGCAAGACAAAAGAGGGGGACCUUCGGGCCUCUCACUAUCGGAUGAACCCAGAUGGGAUUAGCUAGUAGGCGGGGUAAUGGCCCACCUAGGCGACGAUCCCUAGAUGGUCUGAGAGGAUGACCAGCCACACUGGAACUGAGACACGGUCCAGACUCCUACGGGAGGCAGCAGUGGGGAAUAUUGCACAAUGGGCGCAAGCCUGAUGCAGCCAUGCCGCGUGUAUGAAGAAGGCCUUCGGGUUGUAAAGUACUUUCAGCGGGGAGGAAGGCGGUGAGGUUAAUAACCUCGCCGAUUGACGUUACCCGCAGAAGAAGCACCGGCUAACUCCGUGCCAGCAGCAGCCGCGG